rnacentral:rRNA from 1 species
CAUGCAAGUCGAGCGGACAGAUGGGAGCUUGCUCCCUGAUGUUAGCGGCGGACGGGUGAGUAACACGUGGGUAACCUGCCUGUAAGACUGGGAUAACUCCGGGAAACCGGGGCUAAUACCGGAUGCUUGUUUGAACCGCAUGGUUCAAACAUAAAAGGUGGCUUCGGCUACCACUUACAGAUGGACCCGCGGCGCAUUAGCUAGUUGGUGAGGUAAUGGCUCACCAAGGCAACGAUGCGUAGCCGACCUGAGAGGGUGAUCGGCCACACUGGGACUGAGACACGGCCCAGACUCCUACGGGAGGCAGCAGUAGGGAAUCUUCCGCAAUGGACGAAAGUCUGACGGAGCAACGCCGCGUGAGUGAUGAAGGUUUUCGGAUCGUAAAGCUCUGUUGUUAGGGAAGAACAAGUGCCGUUCAAAUAGGGCGGCACCUUGACGGUACCUAACCAGAAAGCCACGGCUAACUACGUGCCAGCAGCCGCGGUAAUACGUAGGUGGCAAGCGUUGUCCGGAAUUAUUGGGCGUAAAGGGCUCGCAGGCGGUUUCUUAAGUCUGAUGUGAAAGCCCCCGGCUCAACCGGGGAGGGUCAUUGGAAACUGGGGAACUUGAGUGCAGAAGAGGAGAGUGGAAUUCCACGUGUAGCGGUGAAAUGCGUAGAGAUGUGGAGGAACACCAGUGGCGAAGGCGACUCUCUGGUCUGUAACUGACGCUGAGGAGCGAAAGCGUGGGGAGCGAACAGGAUUAGAUACCCUGGUAGUCCACGCCGUAAACGAUGAGUGCUAAGUGUUAGGGGGUUUCCGCCCCUUAGUGCUGCAGCUAACGCAUUAAGCACUCCGCCUGGGGAGUACGGUCGCAAGACUGAAACUCAAAGGAAUUGACGGGGGCCG